GCGCCCGUGGUGGAACUGGUAGACACGCAGGAUUUAGGUUCCUGUGCCUGACGGUGUGCGGGUUCGAGUCCCGCCGGGCGCACCG
rnacentral:tRNA from 1 species